GGUUGUGGCUCAGCGGUAGAGUGUUCGCCUAGCAUGUGUGAGGCCCUGGGUUCAAUCCUCAGCACCA
rnacentral:tRNA from 1 species